UUCGGGUCAGGGAUGUGUAGGAUAGGUGGGAGGCUGUGAUUGGGCGUCGCCAGGCGUUCAGGAGCCAACGUUGAAAUACCACCCUUCGCUGGCCUGGGAUCUAACUGCUCAAUGAGCAGGACCGUGCAUGGUGGGUAGUUUGACUGGGGUGGUCGCCUCCAAAAGUGUAACGGAGGCUUCCAAAGGUCUGCUCAACACGCUUGGUAACCGUGUGUGGAGUG
rnacentral:rRNA from 1 species